CCUACGGGAGGCAGCAGUAGGGAAUAUUGGGCAAUGGACGAAAGUCUGACCCAGCCACGCCGCGUGCAGGAAGACGGCCCUCUGGGUUGUAAACUGCUUUUAACUGGGAAGAAAGAAGCCCAUGCGUGGGAAGUUGACGGUACCAGUUGAAUAAGCCACGGCUAACUACGUGCCAGCAGCCGCGGUAAUACGUAGGUGGCAAGCGUUAUCCGGAUUUAUUGGGUUUAAAGGGUGCGUAGGCGGUUCAAUAAGUCAGUGGUUAAAGGUAGCAGCUUAACUGUUUUACAUGCCACUGAUACUGCUGAACUUGAGUUGACAGAAGGCAGAUAGAAUUUCUGGUGUAGCGGUGAGAUGCUUAGAUACCAGAAGGAAUACCGAUUGCGAAGGCAGUCUGCUGCAGUCACACUGACGCUGAGGCACGAAAGUGCGGGGAAUCAACAGAUUAGAUACCCUGGUAGUCCGCACAGUAAACGAUGAUUACCAGAUGUUUGGCCUUAUGCAGUGUCGUAACGGAACGGAACGUAAGUAAGUACGACCGUACGGACGGUACGGUAACCGGCCGACGGUUACGUUAACGUAACGUUAAGUUAAGUAAGUUAGAGGCGNGAGACGAGACGACGACGACGACGAGGAGGAGGAG
rnacentral:rRNA from 1 species